AAAAAGUUUCUCUCCAACUCCACGCUUUCUGUUUCCGUCUUCAGUACGCUUUCACUUUUCAGUUUUCACGUUUCCGUCAAAUCUCAAUCUCCUCUCCACGUCUCCACGCAAACCCACUACCCAGCCACCGCACCAUCAAACCUCAACCUUCCUCUCUUUACUAAUCGGUGUUAGUCAUCAAGAGCAAAUUGAAGCGGGUGGAAAAAUGGUCGUCGCAACCAUUUCCGAGUUCGGGAAUCGAUUAUGCGAGGGGAAGGUAUUAGCACCCCUCACAUCCGUUGUACUCAACGGGAACCUUCUCGUUAAUUUUAGGGUUAAAAGAGUGUUUUAAUUUAUUUGCUUGCUUUUUUUUAUUAAUUAUCAAAGUUAUUUACAAGAGGAAAAAAAAUUGGUUUUUUAUUAGUGUGCUUGACAAGAUGUGGAACCUUGCUCCUACGUAUCCCCGAGUGCAAUGGAGGAAUCAAAGCUACACGCAGUUCUUUGUAGAAAAUGAUUGUUGGUUGGUUGAUUUUACUUAUUGAAAAUGUUUUGGCCGCACUUGGGCGGAAAAAUUGUUUAAUUGAAAAGACGGACUCGUACUUGGACGAUGAUAUCCGCUCGAAAAACAAAAUAAUCGAACGCACACAGGCGUGAAAAUAAUAUUUGAUGGGUUGAAAUUGAUUUUAUUGUUUUUUAAGAGAAUGACGAUUAUCCGGACUACGAGUCAUACGUCAAGAGUCCAGAACACCGGGAAGUGGGGUAGUCAUACGUCAAUCCACUCCUUUUUCAUUCGUUUAUUUAUUGAAAAUGUUUGACGUGAAUAAAAGAAUUGAAAUUAAAGUUUGAUAUUUAUAUUUU